rnacentral:rRNA from 1 species
UACAGAGGGUGCAAGCGUUGUUCGGAAUUACUGGGCGUAAAGGGCGCGUAGGCGGCCUGUUAAGUCGAACGUGAAAUCCCCGGGCUCAACCCGGGAACUGCGUCCGAUACUGGCAGGCUUGAAUCCGGGAGAGGGAUGCGGAAUUCCAGGUGUAGCGGUGAAAUGCGCAGAUAUCAGGAGGAACACCGGUGGCGAAGGCGCCACUCUGGGCCGAAACUGACGCUGAGGAGCGAAAGCGUGGGUAGCAAACAGG